AUUUACCACAAGGGGAGCCUGUAAUGGCUGAGAGUGAGCGAGGAACGUUCUAACCCUUUGAACCUGUAAGUUAAUGCUUGCGCAGGGAUGUGGAUAGAAACCGAC
rfam:Paenisporosarcina sp. HGH0030 genomic scaffold acAqH-supercont1.2, whole genome shotgun sequence.